rnacentral:sRNA from 1 species
GUGCUGGGCCCAUAACCCAGAGGUCCGUGGAUCGAAACCACGCUCUGCUAAAAAUUUUCAAUUUUUUUUCUUCGGAUAACGACUAUUGAUAGUGGGUUUUCUAUAAAUUUAUCCAUACUGAACGAAUGCAAUUGAGGAAAUUAAGGACUAAGACGCGAUUGGAACUCGAAUUUUUCAAAAUUUAGAAUGGUCGAUAUGGAUGUUUUUAAUGCUUUGUCAAAUUUUGAAAGUCAAAUGUUGAGGUACAUGUACAAGCGAGUUACAAAGGUUAGAAUGCUUUGUUUUAUAAACAAAGUUUGAGUACUGUUAUUGUUUGUGUUUUAUGGGUAUACGUUUCAAGUCUAAUGUUGCUUUUUGUUGUUGAGCACACUGUUAACACAUUCAAUCAGUUUAUCAUUUUUGUUUGCCACAAGUUAUAUUUUGUCAAAGAAAUGGAAAUUUCUUUAAAUUAUUUGUAAACAAAUAUAAAAUUUGAGCAGUUUUGUAAACAUAAACGACUUCUUUCUCGCUUGUAACUUGACUUGUAACAUUCAAAUGUUGGCGAAUCAUUAAAAAAACACAAGUAAACCAUUCAAUACC